GACGAACGCUGGCGGCGUGCUUAACACAUGCAAGUCGAACGGAGUGGCGAACGGGUGAGUAACACGCGGGUGAACUGCAUUGCAAUUCGGGAUAAGUUUGGGAAACUGGGUCUCAUACCGGAUAGUGCAAGAUGAGCUCGCGGCCUAUCAGCUUGUUGGGGGGGUAAUGGCCUACCAAGGCGGCGAAGGGUAGCCGGCCUGCGAGGGUGUACGGCAACAUUGGGACUGAGCUACGGCCCAGACUACGACGGGAGGUAGCAGUGGGUAAUAUAGCCCAAUCGGCGGAAGCCUGAGGCAGCGACGCCGCGUGGGGGAGGAAAGCCUUCGGGGUGUAAACUCCUUUCGACAGGGACGCGGUACCUGUAUAAGAAGCACCGGCUAACUACGUGCCAGCCGCCGCGGUAAUAC
rnacentral:rRNA from 1 species